CCUACGGGAGGCAGCAGUGGGGAAUUUUGGACAAUGGGCGCAAGCCUGAUCCAGCCAUGCCGCGUGAGUGAAGAAGGCCUUCGGGUUGUAAAGCUCUUUCGGCAGGAACGAAAUGGUUCGUGCUAAUACCACGGACUGAUGACGGUACCUGAAGAAGAAGCACCGGCUAACUACGUGCCAGCAGCCGCGGUAAUACGUAGGGUGCAGGCGUUAAUCGGAAUUACUGGGCGUAAAGCGUGCGCAGGCGGUUUCUUAAGUCAGAUGUGAAAGCCCCGGGCUUAACCUGGGAACUGCGUUUGAAACUGGGAGACUUGAGUGUGGCAGAGGGGGGUGGAAUUCCACGUGUAGCAGUGAAAUGCGUAGAUAUGUGGAGGAACACCGAUGGCGAAGGCAGCCCCCUGGGCUAACACUGACGCUCAUGCACGAAAGCGUGGGGAGCAAACAGGAUUAGAUACCCUGGUAGUCCACGCCCUAAACUAUGUCAACUGGUUGUCGGGAGAUUAACUCUCUUAGGUAACGAGCUAACGCGUGAGUUGACCGCGUGGGGAGGACGGCCGCGUAAGUUAAACGUUAAAGGUUAAAGUUAGUUACGGCGUGAGAGNGCCGACGGACGACGACGAGGGAGGAGG
rnacentral:rRNA from 1 species